GCCUACAUCCACAUCACCAUGAAUGUGCCCGAUCUCAUCUGAUCUCAUAAGCAAGGCAGGGUUGGGCCUGGUUAGUACUUGGAUGGGAGAAUUUAACUUAAUUAAACAAAUAAUAUAGUAGAUGUGAUAG
ensembl:rRNA 5S_rRNA 5S ribosomal RNA